AAAAAGGUAGCAGUGCAAGUGCAAGUGCAGUAUAACACAACACAAAUUAGGAGGAUAUAUUCAUCCAAAAGAAAAGGAAAACAGAUGGAUCAAACAAACAGAUGAAUUAACCACAAGUCGUCGAGUAAGGCGUAAAGUAGGUGCAUCAACCUGGCCCACCACCACGUUAUAGAUUUACCAGAAUGUCGGACUACAUAUGUAUCUGCUUCUAAUUCUAAAUGAGCUAAUUACAAUUUACACCGUCCGUCCAUCAAUUUCUAUCUAUUAUGAAUUCAGAUGCCAACAUAAACAAUUAAUUAAUACCAAUUAGUCAAUGAUAGUCACGUGUAAGGAUCUAACAGAUAUGAGGAUCCGUAUACAAGUCGCACGCUUCACCCAUUAAACAAUUGGGCUAGGCUAGCUAUACUUGAAAAAGAAAGAAAGCUUCCUUCUUCUUAUCUCCAUAAGAUGAAGCUCAAACUCACCCUCUAUAUAUGUGUAUAUAUAUAGGGCAUACAAUACAGCUUCUUCUUGUCUAAACACCAGCUGCUGCUUCUUCUUCUUCUUCUUCUUCUUCUUCUUCUUCCUAACGUGGGAUGAAAGAAAGAAAGAUAGCACAAGCAUGAUCAAUGAUCGAAAGGAAUAUAUCGAUAUAUUUUGAUACGGGUGAGUGGAUUCCAUGCUAUGCUUGUCAAGUGACUAGUCUCUUUUGCAAAUUAAUCUUUGUUUCGUUGUCUGUUCGACCUGAAAGCUACGGUAAAGACUAGCUAGACUCCCGACAACCCUAAUUAGAUUUUAUUAAGCAUACUUUUUUCAAUUAAUUAACAUGAUUGAUCAUCUAAAAAACUAAACCAGACAUCUUGGAAUAUGACCUAGAAGUUGAUCGACCGAAAUCACUAGAAAAGCUAAAAGUUACUAUAUAUAGUGCAUAUACAAAAGGCGUGUAUGUAGUAGGUAGUAGGACUUAUGCUGGAUCUUCUGGAAAGAUUCAAUAUUGUCCUUGAUUUUUUAUUUUCUAGCUUUUGGGGACACAAAAGAUGCCGUCAAAUGAUAUGCAUGUUAAAGUCUUUCGAUGCAUCCAUAUGUCUCGUCAAUAUCUCAAAUUUUGCUCCAUGUGAUUGCAAUUAAGGAGUCUACCGAAACGUAGUGUAGCGUGUGUUGUUGUAUAUAAUAUAGUUGUUACACGCCUAGAAAAUUUUCUAGACUUUGGAAUUGUAUAUGAGGUAUACGUCUUUUAUUUCAAAUUCGUGUAUAACAGGUUUAAGGUUGAUCAAAUUGGGAAGGGGCUUGGGGUUUUCUUUUUUGGAUCCUCUUUUAGGGAUAGAAAAUUACAGUAAUUAAUAUAUAGGCUACCUAUAAAUCUCUUUUGUGGUAUAAAUAUGACAUAAACUAAUCGCUGGACUUUUACGGUAGUGAAUUUUGUGGCCUUCAAAGACUAGACAGAUUAGGACAAGUUUAAUAAUUGUCGAUGAGGCAGAGCGCCGGAUUAUUACUCCAUGAGGAAGAAUUAUUUAACACAACCAAUUAAUCCAGGGAAUGGAAGUAUCAAAGGUUGUUUUUGUUGUUUACAUGCUUCAAUAUCAAAUUCAAAUAUCUGAAAUCAUUCUAGUAAAUUUGUGUCACGUCAUUGGGAUGUCAUUUAAUUUACCAAGAUUAACUAAGUUAUACCACCAAAAUAUUUACUUUGUUAUUGUUAGCUAGAGGCGUACAUUACAUACGCACAUUACACUACAAAAUUAGUCUAGGUAUAGGGUAUAGGACUAGGAGAGCUAGCUACCCUAAUGUUGAUAGGUCGGAGGGACAACGAACCUGAGGUAUAAGCAAAGAGACUUUUCAUUUGGCAAGGGUUUGCAUGGAAUUCAACAUCUUGAGCUAUCCAUGUUUCCUCCUGUCCUGUGGCUAUAUAUACCAAGUUUAAUUAUGAGGAAGAGGAUCAACUUUUCAUCAAAAAACGUGAUCAUGUCCAGCAAGUUUUGUGCUUCAAAGUCAAUGUGAUCGCAUCAAAUUCUCCAGUGAACAGCGGUUCGUAGAAAGCUAUAUUAAUCUGCUUUUAGUUAUUAUGAUUUUGUUUCUUCCCUCCUUCCCUCCUUCCCUCCUUCCCUCCUUCCCUCCUUCUAUAUGUACUCAUUUUCUAUAUGUGAAUAUUACGACCCAUAUAAUACAUGCAUAGCUGAAGUCUUGUUAUAAUUAACUUGAUCUCCUCGACAUAGCUCGUAUUGGUUGUGGGCUUAUCUGCCUUUUCCAAUUUCAAGUCAUUGUCAGUAACAUGUGGCACUAUCUCACACCUUCCAGCUGGGUUGGAGGUCAAACAAUCUCAUUGCGCAUGCUGCAUGCAGAUUGGUUUCUGGCUCGGUAGGUAUGGCUUUUCCUCUUCACCAAAAAGACCUUUGAAAGUUACUUUGUCGAGGGCAUGCAUACAGUCUACAGACUCUGAAAGCCCGUGGCCACGAAUGAGAUUUGCUUGUUUAAUCAGGUGAAAUGAUAAAGUAAAACAAUCAGCCAGGGUUAAUUCAUUAGUGAAAACUUGAUUUUCUCCCCUCGUGAAAGAAUAUAAAUGAAGGGUUAGGGAACAACCAGCAAAUCCAACACUUGGAGAAUAAAAGGCUAACUGAAACACAGUGCAAGACAAAUAGAAUCUUGAAAGAGAAUCCCUUGUGUUGUGCUUAAUGUACGUAAUUUAUGUGGGUAGCGGCAAAAGCAGAGGAGGAGGCCAUGGUUUACUUUGUUUUCAGAAAGAAGUACGUGACAUAUGUUAUAUGCAUAGUUUGGUGAAUUUUUUUAAAAAAAUACUACUUAAUUAAAGAUACUACUUGUUUUCUUACUUAUAAGAAAAUACUUCUCCUUUAUGCAGAUCACAAUUAGACACAUAUGCAAAAAUAAUUUAUUAAAAAUACAAAAUAAAAAACGUCUACACACAUCACACUACUAUUAGGAGAAAUAGUAACGGGGAAAGUAUUUGCCAAAUAGAGUGUAAGAAGAGAGAUUUUUCAGAUGGCUAGCCACAAGAUUACAAACUAAACCACAAAAACAGAUUUCUGAUUUCCAGCAUUUUGUAUUUCCCUAAAACCAGGAUUUGUGUUUCUAGGUGGUGGACAAGCUUUUUCAGGAUUUGUGGACAGCUAUGGACAGCUAUCUAACACUCCCCCUCAAGACACUAACUGACAUUUUAAAACAAGGAACUUUCAAAAUCGAAAAACACACCAUACUUGGCAGGAUAAAAAUAAAAAUAAAAAAGAAUAAAAAAAUUCACGACUAAUAUCUCCAUCUCGAUCAAUCGAUUUUCUUUGCAUCAUUCAUGUAUUUUUGUCUUCGGGGUGGGAGCUGCAUCGUGAUAUGGGUUUACACUUGGGCCCGUUGGUGACAUAAAAAAACCUUGGGCCAACAAAAAACAACCAGUCCAGAUAAGUGAAAUCACAUUACUUUUACAGAAGGCCCACUAAUUUGUUUAUGUCUCUUUAGCUCUACGGACUGCCCCUUCAAACUCCACAAAUAAACAAGUUUGAGUGUUGGAGACCGUUGAUUUUUGCGGGGGACAGAUGGCAUUCUCAAGUUGCAAGCUGGUGGGCGGCGGUUCGCUUCCUUCGGCAGUCGGAGAGAACCAGUUCCCCUGGAAGCGCUCGGUGACGACAACCCCGAAGAGAGCUCUUCCUCUUCAGGUGAGAAGUGAGGGAAAACGCAAAAUAGAAGCUCCAAAAGCCUUUGGCGUUUCACGAAGAGAUUUGAUGUUAUGUUUGCCUGCUGGGACACUGGCAGCAGCCACUCUUUUUCCUAUAAAACCUGCGGAAGCGCGCAUUGUCAAGCCCGAGAUCAGGAGGAAAAUUCAAGAGAAGUUUGAGAAGAUCAGGGAACAGUUUGGGUUGUCAAAGCCAAAGACCAAUGAUGGGAAAGAGCCAUACCCAUCACCACCAUCGUCGGAGGAGAAAAAGCCUCAAACUUUGCCCCCUGCACCACCUCAAAAUGCUCAAGGAAGCCUGCUUGUACCACCAGUGGAAGCAAUUCUGCCUUGAGAUGGUAAUUCUUCUCUGAUAAAUGGUCAUUCAUUCCAUUGUUGGUGUUGUUGAACUUUGGCUGCCUAAUAGUUUUGUUGAGACAGUAGAGCAUGACACUUGUUGAAAGUUUAUGCUUCUGUAGAAUUUUAAUUUGCCUCCGUUAAUUCAGAACUUGGGAUCAAGAUGUCGUUGUUGAAUAUCAGUAAUAAACCUAUGAGUGCAUGAUCA